rnacentral:rRNA from 1 species
UACGUAGGGCGCGAGCGUUGUCCGGAUUUAUUGGGCGUAAAGAGCUCGUAGGCGGCUUGUUGCGUCGACCGUGAAAACCCGGGGCUCAACUUCGGGCUUGCGGUCGAUACGGGCGGGCUAGAGUUCGGUAGGGGAGACUGGAAUUCCUGGUGUAGCGGUGAAAUGCGCAGAUAUCAGGAGGAACACCGGUGGCGAAGGCGGGUCUCUGGGCCGAUACUGACGCUGAGGAGCGAAAGCGUGGGGAGCAAACAGG